rnacentral:rRNA from 1 species
CCCUUAGAUGUCCUGGGCCGCACGCGCGCUACACUGACGGAGCCAGCGAGCGUGUCCUUCGCCGAAAGGUGCGGGUAAUCUUGGCAGCCUCCGUCGUGCUGGGGAUAGAUGGUUGCAAUUAUUGAUCUUGAACGAGGAAUUCCUAGUAAGCGCGAGUCACCAGCUCGCGUUGAUUACGUCCCUGCCCUUUGUACACACCGCCCGUCGCUACUACCGAUUGGAUGGCUUAAUGAGAGCUCUGGAUCCCUGCCGGCGCGGUCCUCACGGGUCGCGUUGGAUGGGGAGAAGUUGCUCAAAUUGAGUCUUCUAGAGGAAGUAAAAGUCGUAACA